rnacentral:tRNA from 1 species
GGGAAGUUGGCUCAGUGUUAGAGUGCUUGCCUUGCAUGCAUGAAGCCCUGGGUUCGAUUUCUCA